GUAGGUGGCAGGCGUUGUCCGGAAUUAUUGGGCGUAAAGCGCGCGCAGGCGGUUCUUUAAGUCUGAUGUGAAAGCCCACGGCUCAACCGUGGAGGGUCAUUGGGAACUGGAGAACUUGAGUACAGAAGAGGAAAGCGGAAUUCCACGUGUAGCGGUGAAAUGCGUAGAGAUGUGGAGGAACACCAGUGGCGAAGGCGGCUUUCUGGUCUGUAACUGACGCUGAGGCGCGAAAGCGUGGGGAGCAAACAGGAUUAGAUACCCUGGUAGUCCACGCCGUAAACGAUGAGUGCUAAGUGUUAGGGGGGUUUUCCGCCCCCCUUAGUGCUGCAGCUAACGCAUUAAGCACUCCGCCUGGGAGUACGGCCGCAAGGCUG
rnacentral:rRNA from 1 species